UAAUAAGCAAACAUUUUACUGUGUUUCCAUCCAUUCUAAUCCAAUAUAUCAAAUUCACCUAUUCAUUUCUAUUUUCAAUAAUAUUAAAUUUAGCCCUUCGUGAAGAUGUUGGAACGUUUGGCAAAUAUAUCUAUACCUAAUCGUAAGCUGCUAUCAUUGUUGUGCAUCCUGAUCAUCAUGAGCUGCAUAUCACCCAAUUCUCGUCGAUCCAAGGACACGGCAAGGGGAGGUCACUAAAACCUAUAAAUCUGAACAUCAGAGGAGGAUAAAAAUGGCUUCAGUAAUCAUAUUUCCAUCGAGUAAUUUAGAUUUUCUGGAAAAUGUAGUGUUAGUAUGCAAUAGCUCUUGCAAGACUUGGAAAUAUAUUGUAAUUUGUAUUGAUGAAUCAAUAAAAAAUUAAUAAAGAA